AUCCAGUUGAUGAGUCCCAAAUAGAACGAAACAGAUGUCAAACUGGAU
rnacentral:hammerhead_ribozyme from 1 species